rnacentral:rRNA from 1 species
UACGAACUGUGCGAACGUUAUUCGGAAUCACUGGGCUUACAGGGUGCGUAGGCGGCUUGUUAAGUAGGGUGUGAAAGCCCCCGGCUCAACCGGGGAAUGGCGUCCUAAACUGGCGAGCUAGAGUGAGAUAGGGGUAUGUGGAACUUCCGGUGGAGCGGUGAAAUGCGCAGAUAUCAGGAGGAACACCCGUGGCGAAAGCGGCUCUCUGGGACGGUACUGACGCUGAGACGCGAAAGCGUGGGGAGCAAACAGG